UACAGAGGCCUCAAGCGUUACCCGGAAUCACUGGGCGUAAAGGGUGUGUAGGCGGUCAUAUUAGUCUUUCGUGAAAGAUCUUCGGCUUAACCGAGGAGACGCGGGAGAAACGGUAUGACUCAGAGGAUGUGAGAGGUACAGGGAACUCAAGGUGUAGGGGUGAAAUCCGUUGAUAUCUUGGGGAACACCAAAUGCGAAGGCACUGUACUGGCACACUCCUGACGCUGAAACACGAAAGCGUGGGAAUCGAACGGG
rnacentral:rRNA from 1 species